GGAGCCACGACAAGGCCGGCUAGUUGUUCCAGGGUGUUUUUUUUUGUUUUGUUUUUUUGAAGAAAAACUUACACCUAAAGAAAAGUAGAUAAAGCUUCGAAAUUCUAAAGAUAAAAGAUAAAGCUUCAAAAUUCCUUUGUGAAAACAGACAUCUAUAGCUUGUCAUAUGCGGAGUCACUGACCAGUGCCAGCAAAAAAGAAGAGAAGUUUUCAAUGAUGAAAAAAUUUGCAUCAUAUCAGAUUCUUUUUGUCUAAUGUUAGCCAAAGGACACAUAUUUAAAACUGUCUCAUCAGUUCAGCCUGGCAUAUACAUGUGUGCAUGAUAAGAGCAGUGAGUUGACUUGAAUGAAUGGGGAAUUUUUGCUUUUUUUAGUGUCAGACUACAUGCAGACACAGAAGAGCAGAGAGUUAUUAGACUGAGGUAGAGAUUUUCAGAACUUGUACCAAACCCUCCCCUUAAAGUACAACAUCGGUAUAAAUAGUUGUGGUGUCCCCAGACUGGGUAUAUUGGCCUCAACAGGUAAUAAGUGUGAAAAAGAAGAAGGAGAAAGAUCCGAGGCACUCCGAGUUCCUAAAAGUCCUUUAUUAAUACUUUGGACGGCAGUUUACGCGUUUCGGCCACUACAUGGCCUUCGUCAGAACAUAAUGCAGAAAUAGGGCACAGGUGUGCCAGAUACGGGCUGAGAACCAGGUCACAUGACCACAUCACCUUAAACUCACUAAUGAAAUAACAACAUUUUAAAAACACUGACAAUAAAGAGACCAGAAGAAAAAGGUAAUCAUAGACAAUAACCAUAUUGCCAUUAAAAUGGAACCGUUGUGUACAGCAUAAGAUAAAUCUACAGCGCCCCUCAACCUGGAGAAAUAGAAUCUACACAAUACAUCACUAACAGGCAGUACAAUAAUAGGCGAUGGGCCGAGUACGUCUAUCUGCUUUCGUUUACGAAACAAUUGAUCCCCUGCCGGUAAUUUUCAGAUUUUUUAGUAUUGUGUAGAUAAAUUAUCAUAUAACAUAUAAGUUAAUGUUUCCAACAUCAAAAGUUGCACAUUUUCAUAAAUAACGUUGAUAUAUUCGUCACACGAGCUAAUGGAUAUGCUGUUAGCUCCAGCAACCACAAACCAAUGAGAGCUCUUCGUGGACUUCAGUUGGCCAAUCAGAUUCCUCGUACUUCUGGUAAAGCCAUAACACAACGUUAACACAACUGGUUAAGGGAUGAAAGCAAACGAAGGAAAAGUAGCAUGGCUGAAUGGUACAGGUGUCUGUCUGUGGAGAAGUCAGAGACUGUCACUACACAACCAGGUAGAAUGGUGAAAUGCAGGUAAGCAAGGUGUGUAACAUCAACUUAACUAUAAUUACAAGGACAAUAUAGAUUAAAAAAUGUCAAACCAACCUAUGCUUGUUGAUGGCCUAAAUGAGUGGGUUCCAUGCCAUCCUCCUCUCAGUCACUGCUGUCUGAUGAAGGCUGUGCAGGUUCAUCCUGGAUGACCUCUUCAGCAGUUAGGUCCUCUCCAUAGACAAAGUCAUUUCUGGCUGCUUUAAGGAAUUUAAGACAUGGAUGGGACUGAGGAAGCCUUGAUUACGGGAAUAAGUGAACUGUCUGCUGGUCGUCGGACACUGCAGGGCCGAGGAAAUCCUGCUCAGAAGUGCAAACUACAUUCUUAUUAACAACCAGCUGAGAAUGUGUCAUGAUCUUUUAUUUCUUAAUUUACUAAAAGCUAAACACAUCGAGUCCAUGUGACACUCUUCACAAGUCCAGCCCCCCAACAUCACAUCACCCCUUUGUUUCUUUGUCCAAACUGCUUUUGGACCAUAAAACUGUAUGUUUUGGCAGCCAAACUUGCACCGUCAAGCACCUGUAAAGUGUUAUUUUUUCUGUUUGUAAGUCGAAAUGUCCAGUCCUUCCUUAUCUCUAACAAUUUCCUUAAAGAGGUCAUUUAGCCAUGAAAGCCUCAACACUUCACGGUUUGCCAGUAGGUGCUCUUCCACCACUGUCUGACAGAAAUGUCUGUAGCCUGCCUGAUACGGAUUUGCCUCUUCAGAAACCUCUCUCUUUGUUCCUCUCAGGUAUCGUGUGUAAUUUGCGAAGCAACUGUAGUGAUAAAUGGCCUCUGAUGCAACAAGAUCUCUUCCAUGGAUUUGAAGCAACAGGUGUUCAUUCUUCUUCCCCUCAGCAGCAUGAAGGAGUUGAUCUGCUGUGGUAAACAAAGUUUAUACUCAGCAGGCAUGCAACAGGCAGGAGGUGUGGAGCCCUUUUGGGUUGUUCUGGGCCACUCGAAGAGCGCAGAACCCGAACCUUGGAUGCAGCACCAUCACUGGUAUCUGGCAGCGGUUCUUCUGAACAUUGUAAUGGCACUAAAAUGUAAGUUACAAGUGAUCAAUAAAUGGAAAUGAUCUAAAUUCACAUUGUUUCUAACAUUUGUAAAUAAAUAAAAAACAUACUUCUGA